AAAUGUUUCCCGCCAUUUUGUACUUGAUCCAUUUACUCAUACAGUUAUAUUCAUACAGCGUUUGUGUUGAAUCGUGAAAUUGAUAGGCGAAACGAUGGAAGCUGUACGGUCUCAGAGGAAAUCUUCGGUGUCCAACGGCGUCGUUUCAACUCUCCCUCUCUAUCGCUCUGCCCCUCCUCUUGAAGUCCGUCUUGACGAUUUCGAGCUUUACGCCAUCGAUCGCCUACGAGUUCUUAAAGGAAUUUCGGAUGCUUUGUCUAGAGGAAAGAAGCCGGAUGAGAUGGAGAGAUUGGUGUUGGAUCUGUGGAAAACAAAUAUGAGGCAACAAGAUUCCUCUGAGGUUGUUAAUAAGGACAUAAUUUCACAUUUUGUCUUGCGACUUGUUUAUUGCAGGACGGAGGAGUUAAGAAAAUGGUUUCUUUCAAUCGAAACUACAUUAUUUCGUUACCGUUUCCGGGAUGAAGCUCCUGAAAUUCAGAGGUUGCUAAUGACAGAGUUUGAUCUUCCAUACAAAGCUGUGAGCAAUGCUGAAUAUGAGAGUGUGAAGGACAAAUUGAACCAAGUAGCACGCGCAAUAGGACAACCUAUUACAACUGAUGCCAUCUUUUACAAGGUUCCAUUUGAGGAGGUGCCAGAGCUUGUGGCAGGUCGACGAGUAUUUAUUCAGAAAGGGAAUGCAUAUAUUGCCAUGAAUCAGGUGGUUUCACUAGUUGUCACGCAGUUCCGAAGUCAUCUUUCGAAAGCACUAGUGCUGACAAACAGAAAAUGGACCUCGAUGAUCAGAGAACAGGAGAAGGACCGUUUGGUUCCUAUUAUUGAAGCCUUAUCCACAAGUUACCUGGGUCCUGAUUAUAGCCAGCCGAGAGAACAUGCAGAAAUAUCACUUAAAGACAUUGAUCAGAUUGCUAAGAGUUCAUUCCCUCUAUGUAUGCGUCAUCUUUUCGAAAAGCUACGAGAGGAUCAUCAUCUGAAGCAUGGAGGGAGGAUGCAGCUUGGUCUAUUUCUCAAGUGUGUUGGAUUGAAGUUGGAUGAUGCCCUUGCAUUCUGGAGAGCUGAGUUCUCCCGAAAAGUUGGUGCUGAAAGAUUUGAUAAAGAAUAUGCAUACAGCAUAAGACACAAUUACGGGAAAGAAGGAAAGAGAACGGAUUACACACCUUAUUCUUGUCAAAAGAUUAUAUCAUCAGCUCCUGGAGUAGGAGAUCACCAUGGCUGUCCAUAUCGUCAUUUCAGUGAGGAGAAUCUGAGAGCUGCCCUGACCAGGAUGAGAGUAGGCAAUCGAGCACUGGAGGAUGUGUUGGACAAAGUCCGAAAUAGACAUUAUCAGUUGGCAUGCACUUUGACCUUUGAAGCUGUUCACGGCUCAUCUUGUGAUGCCGGGGUUAACCAUCCAAAUCAGUACUACAAUGACAGUCAGAAGAUCUUGGAAUCACAGGGCUAUGAUGCUGAAUGCCAUUUGAUGUUGGAGAAAUGCUUCUUUAUUAUUUGACCAACUUUUCAAUAUUCUGGCCCUUUCAGUGGGCACGUGGCUUUCCAGAUUUCGAAAUCAUGUCUUAAUAUGUAUCUUCUUUUCGUGGUUAAUCUACUUUCAGAAUAGUUCCAGCAACCCACAAGGAACAACAGCAAUAUAGAUGUGUUGCCUCCCUUAUUGGAAGAUCUGGUUGACUCACACCUGCAAGAAUCCAAAGAGACCAUGCAGGACCAAGUAUAAAGAAGAGCUGAUGCCUUUUCUGUCCAAAGAACGUAGAAAGAGAAGGCAGUUGAAUCACCGGAUACAGUUUUUCGAUGCUAUCCCAUCGUUUUAAAGCAUUAGUGGUAUGCGUAGACUGCAAGUCUGUAACUUUUAUUAACCUCAACCCUGUUCAAAUCUAGAUCUAUAUAUAUAAUGCUAGACUGAGCAAGGUGAUGUGACAUUCUCUCUGGCCUUUCUUACUUCUCUACUCAGAAGAUUUGCGGAAAAAAAGUUGUCUUUUAUCCCCCUCUUUAUUAAUAUGUAAUAGUUAAGUAUA